CAAAUUGCAAUUAAUCUAUAAUUUUAUGGUUUUACAAUAUUACACUAGGGGUGUGCAGAUUAACCGGUAAACCACGGUGACCGACCGACUAAACCGCAUUGGCUGGUGAUUGGCGGUGACCGUUGUCCGAUCGGCCAGUUAACUGGCACCAAUCAAGGUGUUUCGGUCGGUAAUAGUUAUCAAUGCUAAAAAAUCGACGACGACCGUGACUGACCGAAAGAUAAAAGGCCUUUUAGUAUUUCUCAUCCUUUGCUUAGAUCUCGAUGUAUAUCACCCUCACCCCCAAAAUUUCCCAAAUCACAACUCCAAUCAAUCUCUACUCUCUUUCUCAGACAACAUAGCUCUAAGAUCUCUUCUCUCUCUAUGGGUGCGAUUUCGUCUCUCCCUCUAGAUCAUUGUAAAAUCCUUUAGUGAGUACAUUGAAAGAGAAACUAAGGCUACAAGAAAGUGCAUGUUGCUGUCCGUGCUAAUCCUAUAUUGAAGAAAUCUGAUAAAGAAUCAUCUAAGGAGUAGAAGCUGUAGACGGUUAAAUUUAAAAGAAGUUCACAUAUGAGGAAAAGAAGAGCCAGUUAAUUGAAUGAUUGAUUAAAUUUGGACAGUGGGCAUAAAUUCUCAAAGAUUCAAGUGACUCUUGCAUUAUUUUGGAGAGCAAUAUUGAAGUUUGAUUAAGCUAUUUAAAGCUUGCUUAGAAAGGUGGAGGUGAAAAGUUUGCAAUUGGAUUUUGGAUGGCCAAAAAGAAUAAAGCUUCAAAAGUCAAGCCUAACUAAAUGAUUUAGAUUUUAUUUUUGGACAACAAAUGACUUAGUUGUCAUGUAAAUUUGGUAUGGAUAUAUAGUUACUAACUUUAUGGAGCUUUGGUAUAGAUUAGCAUAAAAUGUUAGCUAAUCUAUUUUAUUUUGAUUUUGUACAUGCAAUCUAAUUUGGCUUGAACUUUGAAGCUUGGAAAUGCAAUUGUAAACAUGACUAUCAUAUUUUUGUGCAUUUUGUGUUGCUUCUUAGGCAACUUUAUGAAUUAUGAUUUCAAUAGUUAUUAGUUAUUAUUUUCAA